GACGAACGCUGGCGGCGUGCUUAACACAUGCAAGUCGAACGGAAAGGCCCUGCUUUUGUGGGGUGCUCGAGUGGCGAACGGGUGAGUAACACGUGAGUAACCUGCCCUUGACUUUGGGAUAACUUCAGGAAACUGGGGCUAAUACCGGAUAGGAGCUCCUGCUGCAUGGUGGGGGUUGGAAAGUUUCGGCGGUUGGGGAUGGACUCGCGGCUUAUCAGCUUGUUGGUGGGGUAGUGGCUUACCAAGGCUUUGACGGGUAGCCGGCCUGAGAGGGUGACCGGCCACAUUGGGACUGAGAUACGGCCCAGACUCUUACGGGAGGCAGCAGGGGGGAUUAUUGCACAAGGGGCGGAAGCCGGAUGCAGCAACGCCGCGUGCGGGAUGACGGCCUUCGGGUGGUAAACCGCUUUCGCCUGUGACGAAGCGUGAGUGACGGUAAUGGGUAAAGAAGCACCGGCUAACUACGU
rnacentral:rRNA from 1 species